rnacentral:tRNA from 1 species
GCACCAAUAGCUCAGUUGGGAGAGCGUCAGACUGAAGUGAUUCUGUCAUUAAUCUGAAGGUCACCCGUUCAAUCCGGGUUUGGUGCA